UGGUCGCCAUUGGGUUAAACGUCUGAGAAAUCCGGACGAGGAGCCAAGUUGAAGCUGGGGGGAGGGGGGGGAGGAGGAGAAACGGCGGCCUCUGGUUACUGCUCCGGCCCGAGCCCAGCGCCCCCACACCGCUUGGGAUAGCGAGUCUGCAGCUGAGCGGGUGCAAGCGGUGAUUAAUGAAGCAUGUCUGCCACAAGCGUUGACCCUCAGAGAGCAAAAGGACAAGAGAAUAAAGUGCAAAAUGGUUCGCUGCAUCAAAAGGAUACAGUGCACGACAACGAUUUUGAGCCAUACCUAAGCAGCCAGUCUAAUCAAAAUAACAGCUAUCCUUCAAUGACUGAUCCAUAUCUGUCAAGUUAUUAUGCUCCUUCCAUUGGAUUUUCCUAUUCUCUUAGUGAAGCAGCACCGUGGUCCACUGGUGGUGAUCCUCCUAUUCCAUACUUAACAACCUAUGGACAGCUGAGCAAUGGAGACCAUCAUUUCAUGCAUGAUGCUGUCUUUGGUCAACCUGGGGGUCUAGGGAGCACUCCAUAUUUAAAUCAACAUAGGUUCAACUUUUUUCCUGAAAACCCCGGGUUUUCUGCAUGGGGGACAGGUGGGUCUCAGGGACAACAAACACCAAGCUCAGCAUAUGGCAGUAGCUAUAGUUACCCACCUAGUUCUUUGGGUGGUACAAUAGUUGAUGGACAGGCAGGGUUUCCGAAUGAUACUUUGAAUAAAGCUCCAGGCAUGAAUAGCAUUGAACAAGGGAUGGUUGGAUUAAAGAUAGGUGGCGCUGUGACAUCAUCAGGUGUGAAGACAGUGGGGUCUGUGGUAAAUAGCCCAGGUAUGACCAAUGCAGCAUCUGGAAAUGGCUCAACAGCAGGUGUAUCUGCUCCAAAGCCGACAUCAUGGGCUGCCAUUGCAAGUAAACCAGCCAAGCCUCAACCGAAACUAAAACCAAAGACUGGAGCGGCAGUGGGAAGUUCUACGUUGCCCCCACCUCCUAUAAAACACAAUAUGGAUAUUGGUACAUGGGACAAUAAAGGACCUGUACCAAAAGCUCCUCCACCUCAUCAGGUCCCUACUACUCAGGCAGUUCCUCAGCAGCAGUUGACUCAGCCCCCUCCACCUCAGCAGUUGCAGAUUCCACAGCAACCAUUUCAGAAUCCUCAGCAACCCCCACAGAAUCGUUGGAUUGCCCCUCGCAACAGAGGUGCAGCAUUUGGUCAAAACAAUGGAGCUGGUAAUGAAAACAACUCUCUGGGUAAUGUACCAGUUAGCUCUCCACCAAGCAAUGAGACUCAUCCUGUCCUUGAAAAACUGAAGGCUGCUUACAGCUACAAUCCAAAAGACUUUGACUGGAAUGUCAAAAAUGGUCGAGUGUUUAUUAUCAAGAGCUACUCUGAGGAUGACAUCCAUCGCUCCAUCAAGUACUCCAUUUGGUGCAGUACAGAACAUGGCAAUAAACGCUUGGACAGUGCGUAUCGCUCGAUGGCUGGCAAAGGUCCUGUUUACUUACUAUUCAGUGUAAAUGGCAGUGGACAUUUUUGUGGAGUGGCAGAAAUGAAAUCAGCAGUGGACUAUGGUACAUGUGCUGGGGUUUGGUCACAGGACAAGUGGAAAGGCAAAUUUGAUGUAAAGUGGAUCUUUGUAAAGGAUGUGCCUAAUAACCAGCUGAGGCAUAUCCGUUUGGAAAACAAUGAUAAUAAACCAGUCACUAACUCUCGAGACACACAGGAGGUUCCUUUAGAAAAAGCCAAGCAAGUGCUCAAAAUUAUUGCUACUUACAAGCACACCACCUCAAUUUUUGAUGACUUUUCACAUUACGAAAAGCGCCAGGAAGAGGAGGAAGUUGUACGUAAGGACAAGGUUUCUCUGCCAGUGGCUUCUCAUUAUUUACAAGCCACCGUUCCUAUGAAGGCACAGUCAUCCAAGCUCCAGGGAGAAUGAGCUGCAUCAGAACGGCUGCAUCUGUCCUCAUCCUCUUCAAGUUUUGCUCCAAAGACCUCUGAAAGGGAGGAUCUUCUAACGUCACAAAUCUUCCAUUUCUCAUAAAUCAUUCCAGUUGAGAGUUUCAGUGGGAGAAGUUCAGUGGGAAGAAGGUAACAGUUGGCUGUGCAGGAACGCCUGAAUCGAAACAAAUGAUAAGAAAACAUUUGACUUGAUGAAUUAUUAAAAAAAAGACUGAAAACCUGGUGCUGGGAUCCCAGCAUCAGAAUGAAAUAUCAAAGCUUUCUGCUCCAGUGAUAUCUUUAUGUGCAGGGGAAUUAAGCUAUAUCAUGUUUUUAAUACUCCUCUGUUUUUUUUAUUUUUUUUUUGGUUUUGCCCAGACUGGUCUGCAUUUUGUUUGUAAUUUUGCACCUAAAUGCUGUAGCAGUCACUGGUAACUUCUGUUACACUGAAGCUUUAGCUUGCAUUUGUUUAGCAAUCCUGUGAAGAUGAGCCCUUCGUGCUCCUUUUAUAGGAAAUAUUACUGCAUCAGCCUUCUGUUGUUUGGAUGAUGUGAUGCUUUCAACGUUACUAGUUUUUGGUGAUGUGCGUUAACUUUGAGCUUUUUUUUUCAAGCUGCUGUUAAUUUGCAUUCUUUCAUGAAAAUCCCAAGGCCAUUUUAUUUUUUCUUCUGUAAAGCUGAGCUUUAAUGUAGGAGCAAAUAGUGGAAAUGAUGGUUGAUGUCUCAAAAAAAUUAUAAAUUGAUGCAAACGUCUCUUGAUUCUUCGGAGACGAAAUAUUUUGAUUCUUUUUUUCUGUCCGAAAGCUGUACUUUGCUGUACUGUCUGUGAAAUGAGGGAACCAUUGAAAUUGCUGCCGACUGGAUAAAGCAUGAAACGGUGCUCAUGCCUGUUGCUUUAGUUCACAGAAACUUGCACGUGUUUAUUGUAGAGGAACUUUACUAUCAUUAGGAAGCAAACAAUUAACUCUUCUAAACUUAGUUAUAAAAAUGGACCUCAAUUUAAAGAAAUAAACUAUCAUUUAGACUUAUUUAGACAAUUUUAGUUAUGUCUAUGGAAUAUUGCCUGUAAGGUAAAUGAACAUCAUUGGGUUGAUUUUCUUUCCUCUAGGAGAAUACAAGCCUUAAUAAACAAUAUCUGUUUAGCAAGCACAAGUGAUUUCUUCUUCAUGGCUUCAUUCAAUUAUGUUCGGCUUUCUUUCCAUUCACGUUUGGAUAUACUGUGUUGUUAAAAAUGUGUAAUGAAUAACUAUGCAUGAAUUGCAUUGAAUUCUGAAUCUUCAAGUUUUGUAAAUUUCUCUUGAAAGAAAUGUCAAGUAACUAUGUAAACUAGUCAAGAACUUUGCAAUUGAUGGAUGGUGGUGGAGUUGGUCAGUUGGUAUUAUGGGUGUAUUACACCUGCACGGUACUGUUCAACUCCUUACUAUGUUCAGCAAUAACCUUCAAGGUGAACAGCCUUGGUGAAUAGUUAUGGAAUGUAUGGUUUAGAAAUGAUCAGUGUAUUGAAAUGCUGUUCUUUUCUUCCUCAUCAUUCAGUUAAAAAUUAUUAAUCCAAAAUUAGUUAAUGCAGCCCUCUGAUUAAAAUCAGAUUCACCUUUCUCUUUUCAAGAGCUCAUUAAAGCCUUAUUCUUUGACCAAGUUUAUUGUUUUCUUUGGUGCUAAAUUUUGUCUGAUAAUGCACUUUUGUUGUGUCAUGGGGUGUAUAUAUAAAUGUAUAUCUGAAGAUGAGGUGACUGACAGAAUUUGGUACCAUGAUUAAAGAUGUAUUCACACAUGAAAGGUUUUUUCCAAUUCACCAGGUUUACAAAACUUUAAUUAAAAGAAGUCAGCCAGUUUGAAUUAUAAGUGCAUGGAGUCUUUGAGUUGGCAGGCUCUAUGAGCUGCAUGGCACACUUGAGGGCUGAAUAUU